UACGUAGGGUGCAAGCGUUAAUCGGAAUACUGGGCGUAAAGCGUGCGCAGGCGGUUGUGCAAGACAGAUGUGAAAUCCCCGGGCUCAACCUGGGAAUUGCAUUUGUGACUGCACGGCUAGAGUGUGUCAGAGGGGGGUAGAAUUCCACGUGUAGCAGUGAAAUGCGUAGAGAUGUGGAGGAAUACCGAUGGCGAAGGCAGCCCCCUGGGAUAACACUGACGCUCAUGCACGAAAGCGUGGGGAGCAAACAGG
rnacentral:rRNA from 1 species